rnacentral:rRNA from 1 species
UCGAGAAUCUUCCGCAAUGGGCGCAAGCCUGACGGAGCGACGCCGCGUGUAGGACGAAGGCCUUCGGGUUGUAAACUACUGUCACGGAUUAAGAAUUCUGCGGUGUUAACAGCGCCGUAGUUGACGUAAGUCCGAGAGGAAGCACUGGCUAACUCUGUGCCAGCAGCCGCGGUAAUACAGAGAGUGCAAACGUUGUUCGGAAUUACUGGGCUUAAAGCGCACGUAGGCGGCCUUGCAAGUGUCGGGUGAAAUCCCACGGCUUACCCGUGGAACUGCCCGGCAGACUGCAGGGCUCGAGUAUGGUAGGGGAGAGCGGAACUCCUGGUGGAGCGGUGAAAUGCGUAGAUAUCAGGAGGAACACCGGUGGCGAAGGCGGCUCUCUGGUCCAUAACUGACGCUG